UGUGUCCCUGCUUACUGAUACGUGUUUCAUUUGUUGGAUACAACUGGAUUGCACUCCCCGGAUGUGGCCAUUUCUUCUAGCUUCUGCUUCUUCUUCAUCACUCUCUGUUUCUUCUUCUUUUUCUUUUUCAGUUCCUUCCUUCGUUCUUCACAUAUGGUCAUUCUUAUGUUCUUGUUCUGUUGAGAACUUUGUGUUUUGUAUUUUUUAUAUUUGUAAAUUCCUUGUCGGAUGCAACUGAACGGCCAUCUCUAACUCUAGAAGUUUCUUCUCUAUCUUUAUCUUCAUUUUCCUUCAUACCUAUCCCUUAUGGUUUUCAUUGCAAAAGUUCUCCGUUUUGGUUGAAGUUUGUCUAUGGCGUCUACUGUAUUUUUUAAUUUUGGUAAAAAAAAAUUCCUUCACCUGUUUCUUGAUUUAUAGGGAUUUGGUGCGUAUUUGUUAAAUUUUCUUUAGGACUCUCUUGCUGGGAUCUAAAGAUGCAUGUAUGUUUGCUAGGUUUCGGAAUUAACAAAAGGCCUAUUUUUGGUCAGAAAAUUAAUUCCCUCAUCAUGUUCUUUUUCAUCUACUGAAAAUCAAUGUUUUGGUUUUCCCCUUUCUAAUUUGUAAUUUUUGUUGUUCAAAGGAUUGUACGCAUGCAGAUUUUCUCAUAAAAUUGCUAAUGGUUGACAGUAAUUUGUUGGACCUUUGAAAUAAUUUCCUUAUCAAGUGCUGACCAAAAAACCUUACUACUUCUCAAACAACAAUCUUCUGCCCCAGAACUUUAGUUGCCUAUUAGUGUUCCAAUAAAUUGAGCCGAAUCUGAGCCCUUUGCUAAAUCGCACUCUUUCAUAUGAAGAAUCUAAAAUUACCGCUUUUCAGUUCCUGUUCGGUUUUGACUCAAACAUUUCUGGAGAGAGUUGCAGACGAGCCCGUUGAUUCACUCCGCUGAGAAAAUGCAUUUACUAUGUCGGGCUUGGUGUAUUUGCUCUAGCAGCGGAAAUUCAUGGAUGGUAAGGACAUUUACCUUCCUCAUUUCAUCUGGCAUUUGUCCGUCCAUCCUGAAAAAGGAAUUUACUGCAAUCUUUUGGUUGUGAGAUGAUGAAUUAUCCUUUAUUGGUAGUAUCUAAUGUCACUUAACCAAGAUAGGAACAAGGUUACAGAAGUACAAUCUUGGAUUAUACCACGAAGAUCGUUGUGAACUUUUUGUUUGCACCUUAUUGCUAUUAUUUUUUGGCAGAUUCUAAAUGCAGAAGUGGGGUUAAGAAUGGUGAAAUAACAUGCAAAAAGAUGAUAGUUUGGGCAAGAUGCAUCUUGCUAGAGUGUGUACAGAUGGAAACUUAGUGGAGAUCAAUAUGGUAUUGGUGCUGUAGAAGGCAAGGAGUGCACCAAUGCUGGGGUAAGGACGGUUUGUAGCUUAUCUCACCACAAAAGUCAUGAGAGAAGCAGUGGAAAGCAUUCUCUAGAUUGAUUGAGCAUUACCUGGUUCGACUUGCAUCAACCGUUGAAACUAUUUAGUUUUUGUAAUCUACUUUGGAGUUUUUCCAUUUGUAAUCCGACUUCAAACUAUUUAGUUUUUGUAAUCCGUUGAAUGAUGGAAGCAUACUGUUAAAAUAUUAUGGUAUAGCCAGUUUUCACACUGGUCAAUGAAAAAUAGCCAGCGUUUAUCAA